AAAAAAAAAAAAAGAAAAGAAAAAUAAAGUGUUAUAAUUAAGUAGUUGAUUUUAUCUAAUGUUUCAAGUACAAUGUGUUUCAUUAGGACCUUUGGUUAAUCAUCUCAGUUUCUCAUCAGGCCUAGUCCCUAAAUCCCUAAAUUAAAUAGGACGCUUAUAUUGAGAUCAUGCCGCAUCAGCUAUUUCAGUUACUACUAUAUGUGUUGCACCUACAGUGGCAGAGAGUUUGAUAAGACUUUCGAAUAAGAAAGAUCGAUCAUGAAUAAGCUUCAACGGAUUCUCAUUAUGAAUCUUUUUAUAAAUAAGGAGCUAUUUAUAGGCAGAUAAUUGUCAGGUCAGUAUAGUCGGAAAGAAGCUUGCUUACUA
rnacentral:misc_RNA from 1 species